rnacentral:rRNA from 1 species
GAUGAACGCUGGCGGCGUGCCUAAUACAUGCAAGUCGAGCGAACGGACGAGAAGCUUGCUUCUCUGAUGUUAGCGGCGGACGGGUGAGUAACACGUGGAUAACCUACCUAUAAGACUGGGAUAACUUCGGGAAACCGGAGCUAAUACCGGAUAAUAUUUUGAACCGCAUGGUUCAAAAGUGAAAGACGGUCUUGCUGUCUCUUAUAGAUGGAUCCGCGCUGCAUUAGCUAGUUGGUAAGGUAACGGCUUACCAAGGCAACGAUGCAUAGCCGACCUGAGAGGGUGAUCGGCCACACUGGAACUGAGACACGGUCCAGACUCCUACGGGAGGCAGCAGUAGGGAAUCUUCCGCAAAGGGCGAAAGCCUGACGGAGCAACGCCGCGUGAGUGAUGAAGGUCUUCGGAUCGUAAAACUCUGUUAUUAGGGAAGAACAUAUGUGUAAGUAACUGUGCACAUCUUGACGGUACCUAAUCAGAAAGCCACGGCUAACUACGUG